rnacentral:rRNA from 1 species
CAACUCCUACGGGAGGCAGCAGUGGGGAAUAUUGCACAAUGGGCGCAAGCCUGAUGCAGCCAUGCCGCGUGUAUGAAGAAGGCCUUCGGGUUGUAAAGUACUUUCAGCGGGGAGGAAGGCGAUAAGGUUAAUAACCUUGUCGAUUGACGUUACCCGCAGAAGAAGCACCGGCUAACUCCGUGCCAGCAGCCGCGGUAAUACGGAGGGUGCAAGCGUUAAUCGGAAUUACUGGGCGUAAAGCGCACGCAGGCGGUCUGUCAAGUCGGAUGUGAAAUCCCCGGGCUCAACCUGGGAACUGCAUUCGAAACUGGCAGGCUAGAGUCUUGUAGAGGGGGGUAGAAUUCCAGGUGUAGUGGUGAAAUGCGUAGAGAUCUGGAGGAAUACCGGUGGCGAAGGCGGCCCCCUGGACAAAGACUGACGCUCAGGUGCGAAAGCGUGGGGAGCAAACAGGAUUAGAUACCCCGGUAGUCCCAUG